GGCUCGGCAGCUUAGUUGAUAAAGCGCUCGUCUAGCAUACAAGUGUCCUGGGUUCAAAUCCGAGCCGAGCAC
rnacentral:tRNA from 1 species